AGAGUUUGAUCAUGGCUCAGAUUGAACGCUGGCGGCAGGCCUAACACAUGCAAGUCGAGCGGUAGCACAGAGAGCUUGCUCUCGGGUGACGAGCGGCGGACGGGUGAGUAAUGUCUGGGAAACUGCCUGAUGGAGGGGGAUAACUACUGGAAACGGUAGCUAAUACCGCAUAACGUCGCAAGACCAAAGUGGGGGACCUUCGGGCCUCAUGCCAUCAGAUGUGCCCAGAUGGGAUUAGCUAGUAGGUGGGGUAACGGCUCACCUAGGCGACGAUCCCUAGCUGGUCUGAGAGGAUGACCAGCCACACUGGAACUGAGACACGGUCCAGACUCCUACGGGAGGCAGCAGUGGGGAAUAUUGCACAAUGGGCGCAAGCCUGAUGCAGCCAUGCCGCGUGUGUGAAGAAGGCCUUCGGGUUGUAAAGCACUUUCAGCGGGGAGGAAGGCGAUAAGGUUAAUAACCUUGUCGAUUGACGUUACCCGCAGAAGAAGCACCGGCUAACUCCGUGCCAGCAGCCGCGGUAAUACGGAGGGUGCAAGCGUUAAUCGGAAUUACUGGGCGUAAAGCGCACGCAGGCGGUCUGUCAAGUCGGAUGUGAAAUCCCCGGGCUCAACCUGGGAACUGCAUUCGAAACUGGCAGGCUAGAGUCUUGUAGAGGGGGGUAGAAUUCCAGGUGUAGCGGUGAAAUGCGUAGAGAUCUGGAGGAAUACCGGUGGCGAAGGCGGCCCCCUGGACAAAGACUGACGCUCAGGUGCGAAAGCGUGGGGAGCAAACAGGAUUAGAUACCCUGGUAGUCCACGCCGUAAACGAUGUCGAUUUGGAGGUUGUGCCCUUGAGGCGUGGCUUCCGGAGCUAACGCGUUAAAUCGACCGCCUGGGGAGUACGGCCGCAAGGUUAAAACUCAAAUGAAUUGACGGGGGCCCGCACAAGCGGUGGAGCAUGUGGUUUAAUUCGAUGCAACGCGAAGAACCUUACCUGGUCUUGACAUCCACAGAACUUUCCAGAGAUGGAUUGGUGCCUUCGGGAACUGUGAGACAGGUGCUGCAUGGCUGUCGUCAGCUCGUGUUGUGAAAUGUUGGGUUAAGUCCCGCAACGAGCGCAACCCUUAUCCUUUGUUGCCAGCGGUCCGGCCGGGAACUCAAAGGAGACUGCCAGUGAUAAACUGGAGGAAGGUGGGGAUGACGUCAAGUCAUCAUGGCCCUUACGACCAGGGCUACACACGUGCUACAAUGGCAUAUACAAAGAGAAGCGACC
rnacentral:rRNA from 1 species